CAUCACAAUAAUGAAGACACAGCUGUUGCUUGCAGUUGUCCUCAUUUCCCUGGUGGGAAUGGCCCCGUCGGCAAGGGUGCCAAACAAAAAUAUCGAAAUUUGGAUUAGGCCAAAACCCUACCCCGACAGACCACCACCAGAUUAAAUGGAUCAGUUUAUCCACACUUGAUCCUGCCACCGAGACAAAUGGGACCCCCAAAAAGGGGUUCAAAUGAUGUACAACCUACAGAUACAAAAUUACUAAGAAAUAAAUGGCCUCAACAAUAUUACCACCAUUUUUUAUUAAGUCUAAACAAAAGCUUAAAAUGUAUUUAUUUCCUUUUUAUUUCUAGUUAGGGUCACGAGUAUUACCAUUUUUAUUCUGAUCCAGAAAUUUGAAUGGAAUCAAUUCCUUAAGGCAACAUUUAAAUUGCUUGAAAAUAAUACAAAACACCUUGUGUAAUUACUAACAAUAAAAUUUAAAUUAAAACGGAAGGUUACAACAACAAUAAAAACAGCAUUUAGAGGUUCCCUUCUUUUAAAUAAUCCAUACAAAUUAAAUUUUCGUGUCGUUCGACGCUUUAAAAACCAACUAACCAUUGCUUAAUUUGAUUUAUUUCAAACUUUAUAAGGUUUAGGCGUGGCAAAACUAAUUUGCUUGUUAAUUUGCGUUAUGUAACAAGUUAUUUCUAAUUCUAUAAAAAGCUAGGUUCCUAGUGCAGAUAUAAUCACAAUAAUGAAGGCACAGCUGUUGCUUGCAGUUGUCCUCCUUUCCCUGGUGGGAAUGGCCCCGUCGGCAAGGGUGCCAAACAAAAAUAUCGAAAUUUGGAUUAGGCCAAAACCCUACCCCGACAGACCACCACCAAAUUAAAUGGAUCAGUUCUUCCACACUUGUUCCUGCCAAGUGUGGAGAUAUCCAAUCGAGUAUCCAAUCAAAGUUGCUCUUACCAGUUAUUCCCAGGGGACAAAUGGGGGCCUUGAUUGGGACAAAAGGGGUUCGAAUGAUGUACAACUUACAGAUACAAAAUUAUUAAGAAAUAAAUGGCCUAAACAAUAUUA